UGCGGCGCGAUUUCGAUGAUCAAUCAUCUCUUCACUGACGAUCUCGACUUUCAUCAUUUCCACCAGUUGGUAAUAAGUGGUAUUAUUCUUGCUGCGCACAUCCCUCCAGAAUAAAGUGUUCAUGUUGAGGCCGCCUUUCAACGCUGAAAAGGCUUCUCUGUCAGUGAUCUGUUCAUAGUAGGUGAUCUCGUCCUUAAACCUGGCGAAGUAGCUUUUUAGCUUUUUUCCAAGGGCUUGUCUCAUAUCUUGCAAGUGUUGCACUGGGGCCUCCCCUUCUCUAUGUGAGAGGUAUUGGUUCAAGAAAGUCUUUUUUAGCUCUGGCCAACUCCUAAUGCUCAGAGGAGGCAGCCUGCUGUACCACACUUCGGCGGCUCUGGCAAGGGUUAGGUGGAAGGCUCUGCAUUUCAAAGCAGGCAAGGCUCCCCUGAGACUCAUCUGUGUCGUGUAAUUCGUGAGGUGCUUCUCCGGGUCCCCUUUUCCUUCAUACUUGGGGAGCCUCGGAUCUCUCUUGAGAAAGGGAGAUUAUCAUCAUUAUCAUCAAUCUCGUAAGAUCGACACAGCCCUUUGGAGUCCCCGUCAUUUUGCAUGUUCUGGGGGGUGGAGGUGCUCUUCCUCGGCUACCCCAAUCAACUAUGUUUCUUCUCUCCUUCCUAUUUCUAGGUGGAGGGGGCGCUUCUUCUUGCUCUUCCCCUUGUCGAACUGAUCUUUCCACUGCGCGGACCCUAUUACUAGGGUGCCGCCCUAUCCGGUCGAAGACACUGACGACCUUUGUGCUUCAUAUCUGGUGGGAAGUUGUCCCCCAAUUGCGGUUCUGCUGGCUGGCUCCCUUGCACAUAGGAUGUGACUUUCGUACCCGCUCCUCUCUCGAGGGGGAGUUCUCUGUGCUAGCUCAUAUGAUCUCGAGAACGAGGCGCAGGGACUUCACGAGUUAGGUAAGAUUUUUGGGGCAUUUGGGCGCCUUGGUGACCUUGGGCUCACAUGAAUUCAUGCAUCGCCAUAUUCUGAGAUGCGAUCUCUCUCAUGCCCGCAGCUAUUUGGGCCAUUCCUUCAGUGAACAUGGCCGUUCUUUCACCUCGGCGAUGUCGGUGAUGGGGUCUCUGGUGAGUGACAUUGUUUCAGAGCACCUCUUUUUCAGAGGCGUCCAUCCUGUGGUUUGCAUCCUCAUUGUUGGAACUCAUCUUGUCUACUCCUUUUUCAAGGGUGAUGAGGAUCGGGUUGCAAUUCGACUUUGUUCUUUUUCAAGAACGUCCCCCUUUCAGGGUACAUCAAGGGUUUUCCGGUGGCUUUUCCGAUGGAGAAUGUUGGACUUUGGAUAGGAAGUAGUUCCUACAGACGGCGCCAAUUUGUUGACCUCGCGAAUUGGACCCUCCAGGUGGCCAACCGAUUGCUGCUCCACGUAAUCCUCCUUGCGCACAGUCAACGCACGGUGAGAUGCACACGGUUGGAACCAGCGGGGGCGGCGGUGGCUGCAUACACUCCGACGAUCAAGUUAGCUUCUGGUGAUCGGAACAGUACUGUUCGUGUGAUACCCGCAACCGUACGAGAUCGUUGACAAGUAAUAAUAAGCAGUAAUUGAUCGAGAUGAUGAAAAGCUGAAAGACCUGAAGAACAGUUAUGGCAAUGAAGUGUACGAUGCUGUAACAUCAACUUUGGCCGAGAUAAACGAAUAUAACCCAAGUGGGAGGUAUAUUAUUUCAGAACUUUGGAAUUACACUGAAUGUAGGGAGGCUACUCUGCUGGAAGGAGUUGUUCAUAUGAUGAAGCUAUGGAGAAGUUAUAAAAGAAAGAGGGGAAUGGAUUGAUAGUUGAAUGCCAUCUACGUUUUUCACCUGCCAUUAUGUGGGUAAAUUUUCAUUUUAACUACUGAUAACAAAUAAUUGGAGACAGAUUUAUUUUUCACUAUUUAUUGUGACUGUUGUACUUGUGGCUAAAAUAUAAUAUAAUGCAGUAGAAGUUCUUACCUUUA